AGUAAACGCUGGCGGUAGGCCUAACACAUGCGAGUCGAACGGCAGCACAGGAGAGCUUGCUCUCUGGGUGGCGAGUGGCGGACGGGUGAGGAAUACAUCGGAAUCUACUCUGUCGUGGGGGAUAACGUAGGGAAAUUUACGCUAAUACCGCAUACGACCUACGGGUGAAAGCAGGGGACCUUCGGGCCUUGCGCGAUUGAAUGAGCCGAGGUCGGAUUAGCUAGUUGGCGGGGUAAAGGCCCACCAAGGCGACGAUCCGUAGCUGGUCUGAGAGGAUGAUCAGCCACACUGGAACUGAGACACGGUCCAGACUCCUACGGGAGGCAGCAGUGGGGAAUAUUGGACAAUGGGCGCAAGCCUGAUCCAGCCAUACCGCGUGGGUGAAGAAGGCCUUCGGGUUGUAAAGCCCUUUUGUUGGGAAAGAAAUCCAGCUGGCUAAUACCCGGUUGGGAUGACGGUACCCAAAGAAUAAGCACCGGCUAACUUCGUGCCAGCCGCCGCCGUAA
rnacentral:rRNA from 1 species